CAACUACAUAAGCUGAUGGGCGGUUGACACUCCCUAAGAAAGGGGGUGUAUAUAAUGGUGACAUAUGAAGCAAUGAAUACGCUAUUACAAUUCGGUACAUUGAUCGUUACAAUGUUUAUCGCAUUUGUGGCAAUUGUCGCACUAGUCACCAAUAAAAAGAAGUAACCGCCCGUCCUCCGACCAAGAGUAGGUGGUUACUUCUUUUUUAACAUCAACUUGAUUUGGUCAGCCGCUCUUCAUGCGGCAUGUAGUUGCUUUGACCGGGUGUUGUAGCACUCGGU
rnacentral:sRNA from 1 species